UUUCAAGUUUAUGAAAAUUGGUUCAGCCAUCGCUGAGAAAAGAGAGUGAGACUGUGGUCACAUACACACACAGAAUCGACGGACUGAAUCGAAUGAUUUGACCGCACAUACCGCUUGAUGACGUCCCAGUUUGAUAUUUCUUUUGAGUGUUUUGAGAAAACUGAGAAAACGAAACUCGUCAACGCAGGCCUGGAUACGGUUAAAGAAAUAUAAACAAAUUUUGGUAUCCUCGUAUCGUUGUCCGGAGCAGUUGGAUAUCAUUGUCAUCAAUACCCCCAGGGUUGAAAAAUUGAUUCGGUUCUGGCUCCGAAUCUAAAGAAUAUGGCGUGCGGCAUCGAAGAAUUUAUUCCGUGCAUUUUAGGUCGUCUUGUUUCAAACACCUAUUAAAUGUAUCUAAAGGAUGAUGAUCGAGUUGCACUUUUUGUUGCCAACGAACGGAAAACAGCGACUAGCUGCUGCAUUUGCUCCACCACCCGUUUUUUUUCAAGAGAUCAGAGAUGUAUAUUUUCGCUCUGCAGUUUGUUGCUUUUCGCUAAAUAGCUGAAGAAAUUUUUCUCCUCAAAAUAUUUGGUAAGUAAAUAAGAACAAUUUUGCACGUAAUAUGAGUUGUUAUCGUGGGCGUGGAAACGACAUUUAUUCACUACUAGCUGUAACCCGGUGCGCUUCGCUACACCCGCUUCGACUAAACGAAAUAUUUUAAAUAUACUAAAAAUAACAAAUAUUUGUGUUACUAAGA